rnacentral:rRNA from 1 species
CAGUAGCCACGGUAAUACAGAGGGUGCAAGCGUUAAUCGGAAUUACUGGGCGUAAAGCGCGCGUAGGUGGUUUGUUAAGUUGGAUGUGAAAUCCCCGGGCUCAACCUGGGAACUGCAUCCAAAACUGGCAAGCUAGAGUAUGGUAGAGGGUGGUGGAAUUUCCUGUGUAGCGGUGAAAUGCGUAGAUAUAGGAAGGAACACCAGUGGCGAAGGCGACCACCUGGACUGAUACUGACACUGAGGUGCGAAAGCGUGGGGAGCAAACAGGAUUAGAUACCCGAGUAGUCCCUGUCUCUUAUAA